UACAGUGUUCCUGAUUGAAGAAAAAUGAAUCGCUUCUUUUCUGAGGAAAAAUGAGGGACCAGGAAAAGCCAAGCUUGUCAGGGAUGCAGGAAGAUCAGCGCUGAGCUAACAUCUGCCACCAAUCCUCCCCUUUUUGCUGAGGAAGACUGGCCCUGAGCUAACAUCUGUGCCCAUCUUCCUCUACUUCAUAUGUGGGACACCUGCCACGGCAUGGCUUGACAAGUGAUGAGGCUUGUGAGCAGAGGCUGGAGGUAGGCUGGGGGCAUGGGAAGGCAGCCACAACCAGGCAAUUUCCAGGAAAGGACCCAAGGCACCUAGAACUCAAAUCCUGCCCGGGAUACACUCUGCAGGCAGUCCUGGAGACGCC
rnacentral:lncRNA from 1 species